AUGCUCACAGCUGUGGUUAACAAGACAGGAAGUCAGAAUUUUCAAGUGGGAGAAGAUUAUGAAGUGAUAAAAAUGAUAAAAAAUAAAAAUGGAGGAGAACAGACAAGAGAAAGAGUACAUUUAACGGUGAGAGAAGAGAAGUCUGACCAGCGAUUUGCAGCAAUGGUGAACAAUAAGACAUUGAUGGUGGUCGUCCUCCUAAGCAUCUUUGUGGCAGGAAAUCAAACAAAAGGAGAUCAAGACCCUGCAUCUCAACAGAAUAAAGAUUCUGCCAUUAAACAGCUGACAGAUUUCAAAGAGCAGAACUUUAUUCCAGGCAGUGAUGUGAUUUUACAGUGUGGCAAUGCCACUGUUAUCAGUUGGAAUGAAUUAAUUUAUAUUGUCUGGAACAUCAGCCUGCAAGGCAGAAAAUGUUGGCUGGGUUUGUCACCCAAGCUGGACGACACAUGUAAAGAUGGAAAGAGGCUGUUAAACACCUCAGAUGGAAUUUCUUUAGUCAUUCCCAAGAUUUCAACAAGAGAUGAAGGAUUUUAUUCGUGUGAUGUAUCAUAUAAAGCAGGAAGCUAUGCUGUAAAUGUGUCUGUAAGCGGUGAGUACAAACAUAAUUUAUUUUAAAGCUAUUGAAAAACUGUACUAACCUUUUGUUUGAUUUCCUGCCACAAACAUCAUAGAUUAGAUAUAUCUCUCAAACUCCCACUGUAGUCAUGAACUACAAAAAAAGGAAAAGAAAAAAAAAAUAAUUUUUUAAGAUUUUUGUUUUUAGUUACCCAACUUUUCACCAAGCAGAGUGAAAACAAUCAGAGGAUUGCUGUCUGUCAGGCCACAUACACACAAAAAACAGCACCCACUCUUCACUGGGAACCUGCCUUGAACUUUUCCUCCAGUAACAGUUCUGUAAAGAAGGAUGGCAGGUUUUUUACGAUGGAGAAUCAAGUAUAUCUGCCGGACAAUGUCAACAUCAGUGAGCUCAUCUGUGUGGCCACAUACACCUCCGAGUCCGGCUCUGUUCAGCACAAGAGCACACUUCAUCUUAAACAAAGUGAGUACACUGUAUAUGAAAAGAAAUUGAGAAUUGAUUUCAAUAGUGGAUCAGUAGUAAAUUACAGUAUGUUCCUCUCAAUCAAGUUGGAUGAGGACCAUUGGUCAAAAGACAUCAGCUUUCUCAAGAGAUGUUUGACUAGGUUCAAGUUCAGGGUCUGAAUACUUAUAUAUUAUAUACUAAAUUUGCAAAUAUGGUUUUUGAUUUGCAGUUAUGGGGUGUGGAGUGUAGAUUGAUGUGGGGGAAAAACAUUAUAAUUUCAAGAAUUAAUAUAAGGCUGCAACAUAAAAUGUGAAAAGUAUUCAAGGGUCUGAACUUUCCUAAAUGCAUGGUAGCACUAUCUAGGGUUACUAACUUAAAGCUUAUACAGUCUUUAGUUUAGCCACCAAUGAUGCUGGAAAAGGCACCAGCAGUGGGAGGAAACCACUGUAUGGAGGGAGUGCAUGACAGGAGAAGGAAUGUCCUUCUUAUGGAGCAGUGGCACUGGGCAGCUUUAAAGGGGUCAUAUGAUGUGCUUUCAAUUUUUCCUUUCUCUUUGGAGUGUUACAAGCUCUAGGUGCAUGAAGAAGAUCUGUAAAGUUGCAAAGACUCUGCCACGCCCCCUUAAAUGGCUCGUUUAAACACGCCUCCACAUCUCUACCUCACUAUUCGGAAAUAUUUGCGUAAUGCUGCCCAAAUGUUCAGGCAAAGAAAGAAGGCGUGGUUUCAGAACCGCAGUUAGUGUUGAAGCAGCCAUGUCAGGGAGAUGCUGUGUGUAUCUAUAGGCGAAAGCAAAAGUAGUUUAUUUGGCCUUCCUAAAGUAGAUGCAUUUAGGAAGCUUUAGAAAGCUUUUAGCUUUAAGAUUACUUACAGCAGAACAGCAACGCAUUUUAUAGAUGACCAUUUUGUGAACCUAGGAGAGGAGGAAAUUCUGACUUUGCUACUACAAUCUGGUGCUUCUGAAUCAGCUACUGUAAGUAUGUUAUGUUAUUAGUUUAAGUAUUUGCUGUUGACUGUUCAAAUGCGGAGUUUUGCGUGUCGUGCGUGUGUGUGUGUGUCUGUGAGAGAGAGGGGGGGUCACACAGUGGAGUCAGCUGUCUUAACCGUCCGUGGCUUGUGUACUGUAAACACAUAGGAGCUUCAUCACUGUCUGUCACGCGACUCUGUUCCCCUUUCAGGCUUGAACUGAUGGUAAAACUCUUUACAUGAGGGUCUUUACAUUUAUUUUGAAAGAUGAAGCUCGCGAUUAUGGAAAGGGGAGUUACAUCUCCACGGUGGUUGGCCAAUCACAAUGCACUGGGUCAGUUGGCCAAUCAGAGAAGACUGCUCUCGUCAGAAGGAGGGACUUUGUAGAAAAUUACGCGUUUGAGAGAGACGGGGCAUAGAGGACCUACAUCAAUGUACAGUAUUUGAAAAAUAAUGUGUUUUUUGAACAUUAAAGCAUAUCAACAUGUUCUGUUACACCAAAUACACAAAAUAACGAUCUUUAAAAAAGCAUCAUAUCACCCCUUUAAAGGGAUACUCCAUCCCAAAAUAAAAUUUUUGUCAUUAAUCA
ensembl:lncRNA